AUCUUUAUUCAUCGGUGGCGCAAAAGCUUUUCACAACACUCAUACGAAUGAAACAUAACAUGAACAUAAAAUUGGACAGGGUAGGAUAAUUUAUAUUUAUUACGAAUCUUCUAAUUUGGUUGUCCUGAUUUGGUUACCAAAAAUAAGUUGACUUACUUUGUUUAAGUGCGCAUCGCACUGUAUUCUAUAUACACUACGUAUUUUUCCACAUUUUAAUUAUUUCACACACUAAAAUACUCUAAAAAAUCAGUUAAAAUAUUUAUAAAUUCUCGACUUUUGUUAAAUUUUGAGGGCUGUUGGAGAUUUGUACAAUCGUUCUUUUGGCGGUGCCGUGCUCUUUGCCAUCGUAAGUCUUAUCUGUUGUUACCUCGCAGAGACAUCGUAAAAUAAAAUCUCGAAUAUUAGUAGAUAGAAGAAAACCAGUAAGCUUGUUAUAAUAUCGUAUUGUCUUUAUUUGAUAUAUAUUCAGGACAACAAAGUGUAUUUGUCAUCUCUACCGGUUAACUACCAAAUCUUUUGUUUUCUUUACCAGUAAUGCAUAGGUAAAUAACGGAGCUUAAAUAAAAUUAAAAAGUAGAGGGAUGGUCAAAUAGUGAUGUUCUCUUUUGCCGACAGGCCCAUACUUAGUUCUAAAUCCAGAUGUUUUGUGUGUAACUGAAAUGUUCUUAUAGAAAUUAUAAAAAAAAAACAACUGUUCAUUAAAUCCAUUUUGUAUUACAUAGUAUUUUCAUUUUGUGUUAUUCUGUUCGACGUUACCAUCACUAUAAUUUCUUCUUAUAUCUCUACGUAUUUGUAUAUGAAGUAUAUUGAAGGUGAUCACACUGCAUACUCCUUACACCUGAGUCCAGAACAAGAACAAGAAUUUUUAUCAACGUCAGGAUUACUUCAUCAAGUUUAUGCGAUGGAUUUUAAAGUGACAGUCGCUGCCAUCGUAUUAUUGGUAGUCAUUAUUGUUAUUGUUAGUGCAAUUACCUUAGAUUUAAUAACAUAUGUAUAUAUUUGAUAUUUAAUAUAAUUAAAUUCAGAUGUAUUUGUAAAUAGGUUAUUAAAAUAUUUAAAUCAAAAUGUACUCUGUUGGGACAUUACCAAAAUUUCAUAAUUCGUAACUAAAUUGUGAUCUGGUUUUUUAUAAUAGAUUGGAAUAGUGUUAUUGCUACAACCUAAAAAAUUAUAUAACUCUUAGAAAUUAAUAAAUCAGUUAAUACGUUGUAAUUGAUUAAUUAUAGUAAACUGCCAAUCAUUUAAUACCCUAAUAAAUGAUGUGUUUACAUAAUAACAUUUAAAUAAAGUCUAAUAAAUUACGAUUUACGUUUAAAAGUAAACAGCAUAUCUCUUGUAUUGAUAAUUUUAUGAUUUCAACUAUUUUUACGGCAUU